UACAGAGGUCCCAAGCGUUGUUCGGAUUCACUGGGCGUAAAGGGUGCGUAGGCGGUCGGGUAAGUCUGAUGUGAAAUCUCACAGCUUAACUGUGAAACUGCAUUGGAUACUAUCCGGCUAGAGGAAUGGAGGGGAGACUGGAAUACUUGGUGUAGCAGUGAAAUGCGUAGAUAUCAAGUGGAACACCAAUGGCGAAGGCGAGUCUCUGGACAUUUCCUGACGCUGAGGCACGAAAGCCAGGGGAGCAAACGGG
rnacentral:rRNA from 1 species